rnacentral:rRNA from 1 species
UACGGGGGAGCAAGCGUUGUUCGGAUUUACUGGGCGUAAAGGGCGCGUAGGCGGCCACCGCAAGUCGACUGUGAAAUCUCCGGGCUUACCCGGAAAGGUCAGCCGAUACUGCGGGGCUAGAGUGCAGAAGGGGCAACUGGAAUUCUCGGUGUAGCGGUGAAAUGCGUAGAUAUCGAGAGGAACACCUGCGGCGAAGGCGGGUUGCUGGGCUGACACUGACGCUGAAGCGCGAAAGCUAGGGGAGCGAACGGG